AGUGAACGCUGGCGGUAGGCCUAACACAUGCAAGUCGAACGGCAGCACAGUAAGAGCUUGCUCUUACGGGUGGCGAGUGGCGGACGGGUGAGGAAUACAUCGGAAUCUACUUUUUCGUGGGGGACAACGUAGGGAAACUUACGCUAAUACCGCAUACGACCUACGGGUGAAAGCAGGGGAUCUUCGGACCUUGCGCGAUUGAAUGAGCCGAUGUCGGAUUAGCUAGUUGGCGGGGUAAAGGCCCACCAAGGCGACGAUCCGUAGCUGGUCUGAGAGGAUGAUCAGCCACACUGGAACUGAGACACGGUCCAGACUCCUACGGGAGACAGCAGUGGGGAAUAUUGGACAAUGGGCGCAAGCCUGAUCCAGCCAUACCGCGUGGGUGAAGAAGGCCUUCGGGUUGUAAAGCCCUUUUGUUGGGAAAGAAAAGCAGCAGGUUAAUACCCCGCUGUUCUGACGGUACCCAAAGAAUAAGCACCGGCUAACUUCGUG
rnacentral:rRNA from 1 species